ACAACUGGAAAGGAGACAGAGUGUGGCUCAUCUGGGGUUUUGGUGAUGGGAAGAGACUGUUCAGUUGCUGUGGCAGUGUCAGCAGCUGCUCCUGCAGAGAGAUGGAAAAGAAGGAAACAAGGAGGAAACUUCCUAGCCAUCCAAUCAUCUUUUCAGCAACCUCCUCCUCAUUGCCGACAUUGUGUUUGAAUAUUAGGAGUUUCUGUUGCAGCUAAAA